UUUCCUAACAUAUUUAAUGAAAUAAAUCAAACAAAGAAGAAUGUCCCAGUUUCACAAUCUAGCAUCAAAUCUUCAAAGAGAGAGCAUUAUAAAAUCUAGGUUUUAAGACCAAAGUUAAUCCACGAUCAAAUUAAAUCAUAUGAUCAAUAUUGUAUCUGAAACUUAGAUUUUUAUUUUUAAAACAUAGAUCUCUUAAACCAAUUAAAAUAUGAUAGUUAAUUUUGGUUUUCAAUUUGAU
rnacentral:lncRNA from 1 species